rnacentral:lncRNA from 1 species
CUCCAAUCCUCCCAUGAAAAUUUUGAAGGGUAAAACCUUUUCUCUCUUUUUGCUUAUAAUUUUUCUUUUCAUUCAUUCUCUUUUUUGGAGAUUUGAGGGGAACGAGAACACUUGAGAGAGAGCAGAGGGGUUUCUUAAAUUCUGGUUGAGGUUUGUGCAAGUUGUGGCAAUUUGAGUUGGUCCCUUGAGAGCUUUAUCUUGGUAGAAGAGAUCUGAGGGAAAGAAGAAUACCUGAGAGAG